rnacentral:SRP_RNA from 1 species
CAUUGUUGCCCUCUAUGGUGCGGAC